rnacentral:rRNA from 1 species
AGCCACGUCGGUGACGAUCAAGUGAACGUCGAUGAGAAUCGACGCCGGUUUUUCAAGGCCAUUGGUGUGCCUGAUGCAGCAAAGGCUGUUUAUCAGAAUCAGGUCCAUUCGGCAACGGUUCGGGUCGUUAGUGGCGAGGAAGGCAUCGUGCAUGAGUGCGAUGGACUCAUCACUUCUGAGACCGAUAGCGCACAAGUA